UCCGGAGGGGGCUAGCGUUGUUCGGAAUUACUGGGCGUAAAGCGCACGUAGGCGGCUUUGCAAGUUAGAGGUGAAAGCCCGGGGCUCAACCCCGGAAUUGCCUUUAAAACUGCAUCGCUAGAAUUGUGGAGAGGUAAGUGGAAUUCCGAGUGUAGAGGUGAAAUUCGUAGAUAUUCGGAAGAACACCAGUGGCGAAGGCGACUUACUGGACACAUAUUGACGCUGAGGUGCGAAAGCGUGGGGAGCAAACAGG
rnacentral:rRNA from 1 species